rnacentral:rRNA from 1 species
CUACGGGAUGCUCCAGUGAGGAAUAUUGCACAAUGGGGGGAACCCUGAUGCAGCAACGCCGCGUGGAGGAUGACGCAUUUCGGUGUGUAAACUCCUUUUAUAUGUCAAGAAAAUGACGGUAGCAUAUGAAUAAGCACCGGCUAACUCCGUGCCAGCAGCCGCGGUAAUACGGAGGGUGCAAGCGUUACUCGGAAUCACUGGGCGUAAAGGACGCGUAGGCGGGUUGGAAAGUCAGGUGUGAAAUCCUACAGCUUAACUGUAGAACUGCACUUGAAACUUCUAAUCUAGAGUAUGGGAGGGGAGAUAGAAUGAGUGGUGUAGGGGUAAAAUCCGUAGAUAUCACUAGGAAUACCUAAAGCGAAGGCGAUCUCCUGGAACAUUACUGACGCUAAGGCGUGAAAGCGUGGGGAGCAAACAGGAUUAGAUACCCGAGUAGUC